UACGUAGGGUGCAAGCGUUGUUCGGAUUUACUGGGCGUAAAGGGCGCGUAGGCGGCCCUCCUUGUCGCGUGUGAAAGCCCCGGGCUCAACCUGGGAAUUGCGCGCGAAACGGGCGGGCUUGAGUUCGGGAGAGGAGCGUGGAAUUCCCAGUGUAGAGGUGAAAUUCGUAGAUAUUGGGAAGAACACCGGUGGCGAAGGCGGCGCUCUGGACCGAGACUGACGCUGAGGCGCGAAAGCGUGGGGAGCAAACAGG
rnacentral:rRNA from 1 species